rnacentral:rRNA from 1 species
AGCGGCGGACGGGUGAGUAAUGCCUGGGAAUGUGCCCUGAUGUGGGGGAUAACUAUUGGAAACGAUAGCUAAUACCGCAUAAUCUCUUCGGAGCAAAGAGGGGGACCUUCGGGCCUCUCGCGUCAGGAUUAGCCCAGGUGGGAUUAGCUUGUUGGUGAGGUAAUGGCUCACCAAGGCAACGAUCCCUAGCUGGUCUGAGAGGAUGAUCAGCCACACUGGAACUGAGACACGGUCCAGACUCCUACGGGAGGCAGCAGUGGGGAAUAUUGCACAAUGGGGGAAACCCUGAUGCAGCCAUGCCGCGUGUGUGAAGAAGGCCUUCGGGUUGUAAAGCACUUUCAGUAGGGAGGAAGGUAGUGUAGUUAACACCUGCAUUAUUUGACGUUACCUACAGAAGAAGCACCGGCUAACUCCGUGCCAGCAGCCGCGGUAAUACGGAGGGUGCGAGCGUUAAUCGGAAUUACUGGGCGUAAAGCGCAUGCAGGCGGCCUGUUAAGUCAGAUGUGAAAGCCCGGGGCUUAACCUCGGAAUUGCAUUUGAAACUGGCAGG